UGUGGGGCCCCCAGUGCUGUGAUGGGGCUUUGUGCCUCUGCACUAGGUUGGGUGUGGUGAAUAUCCCUGACCCUGCUGUUACCCAGUGGGGUGGGGGUCCAUGUGGGGAGUGCCUUGGCCCCCUGGCUGACAUGGGGGGGUGCCCUGUAGUUGGGGGGCACCUUGGUCGCCACAUGGGACUGGGGAGGAGCCAUGUAGUGCAGGGGGUGCCAGGACCCUGGCUGGGGCAGCUAUACCAUGUAUGGGAGUGCCCUAAACCCCAUAUUGGUUUGGGGGUGUAUACAGUGGGGGGAUCACUCUAGCGCCGGAUUGACAGGGGGAAAAAACACCCCAAGCCUCCUCAACAAUGGCGUGAACUCAAGGAUCCGACGCCAUUGGAGGGAUUUGGACCAAUUUGUUGGGCGGGGCUAUUCCUGCAUGACCCCGCCUAUCGGAAGUGACGUCACACCAGAAAAAUGAUCAAGCCAACCCAGGCCACUUCCUGACCCCGUCCUUUAUAGCCAGCCCUUUUUCCUCCAUCACUUCCGACCCGGCUGCCAUCUUGCUUGUGAAGGACCCACUGCCGCUAUGUCCGUGUUCCCGGUGCUCCGCGCGCUGCUCCGGCCCCGCCUCGCGCCGCCCGCUCGCGCCCUGCACUCGUACCCGCCGGAGAGUCGCGUGGGGCCGCUGGAGACUGUCAUCAGCAUGGGAGCCUUCUUCCUGGCCUUCAUGGUCCCGUCGGGCUGGAUCCUGAGCAACAUGGAGAGCUACAAGAAGCGCGACUGAGCGAGCGGGGUCUGAUCCGCGCCGGCUGCCCGCACCCGGCUGGACUCCCCUGCGUCCCGGGCGGGGCUCGCCCCUGCCCCCACAUUCCGCACUCGGCCCCUGGGGCUGCUAACUUAUUCCAUGGCCCCAUGUGGAGCAGCGGGGUUGCUGCCAUGGUGGGGUGACUUAAAUCUGUUACAAUAAACCCUGUUACAGACACUUA